rnacentral:misc_RNA from 1 species
AAAGUCGUAACAAGGUUUCCGUAGGUGAACCUGCGGAAGGAUCAUUACAGUAUUCUUUUUGCCAGCGCUUAAUUGCGCGGCGAAAAAACCUUACACACAGUGUUUUUUGUUAUUACAAGAACUUUUGCUUUGGUCUGAACUAGAAAUAGUUUGGGCCAGAGACUACUGAACUAAACUUCAAUAUUUAUAUUGAAUUGUUAUUUAUUUUAAUUGUCAAUUUGUUGAUUAAAUUCAAAAAAUCUUCAAAACUUUCAACAACGGAUCUCUUGGUUCUC